GUGCUCGAUUCGGCAGCACAUAUACUAAAAUUGGAACGAUACAGAGAAGAUUAACAUGGCCCCUGUGCAAGGAUGACACGCAAAUUCAUGAAGCAUUCCAUAUUUUU
rnacentral:snRNA from 1 species